rnacentral:rRNA from 1 species
CCUACGGGUGGCAGCAGUGAGGAAUAUUGGUCAAUGGACGAAAGGCUGAACCAGCCAAGUCGCGUGAAGGAAGACGGAUCUAUGGUUUGUAAACUUCUUUUAUAGGGGAAUAAAGGUAUCCACGUGUGGAUUUUUGCAUGUACCCUAUGAAUAAGCAUCGGCUAACUCCGUGCCAGCAGCCGCGGUAAUACGGAGGAUGCGAGCGUUAUCCGGAUUUAUUGGGUUUAAAGGGUGCGUAGGUGGUUUUUUAAGUCAGCGGUGAAAGUUUGUGGCUCAACCAUAAAAUUGCCGUUGAAACUGGCAGACUUGAGUGUAGUAGAGGUAGGCGGAAUGCGUGGUGUAGCGGUGAAAUGCAUAGAUAUCACGCAGAACUCCGAUUGCGAAGGCAGCUUACUAAGCCAUAACUGACACUGAGGCACGAAAGCGUGGGGAUCAAACAGGAUUAGAUACCCGAGUAGUC